UACGAAGGGGGGCUAGCGUUGUUCGGAAUUACUGGGCGUAAAGCGCACGUAGGCGGAUCUUUAAGUCAGGGGGUGAAAUCCUGGAGCUCAACUCCAGAACUGCCUUUGAUACUGAGGAUCUUGAGUCCGGGAGAGGUGAGUGGAACUCCGAGUGUAGAGGUGAAAUUCGUAGAUAUUCGGAAGAACACCAGUGGCGAAGGCGGCUCACUGGCCCGGUACUGACGCUGAGGUGCGAAAGCGUGGGGAGCAAACAGG
rnacentral:rRNA from 1 species